rnacentral:rRNA from 1 species
UGGGGAAUAUUGGACAAUGGGCGAAAGCCUGAUCCAGCCAUGCCGCGUGUGUGAAGAAGGUCUUCGGAUUGUAAAGCACUUUAAGUUGGGAGGAAGGGCAGUAAGCGAAUACCUUGCUGUUUUGACGUUACCGACAGAAUAAGCACCGGCUAACUCUGUGCCAGCAGCCGCGGUAAUACAGAGGGUGCAAGCGUUAAUCGGAAUUACUGGGCGUAAAGCGCGCGUAGGUGGUUCGUUAAGUUGAAUGUGAAAGCCCCGGGCUCAACCUGGGAACUGCAUCCCAAACUGGCGAGCUAGAGUAGGGCAGAGGGUGGUGGAAUUUCCUGUGUAGCGGUGAAAUGCGUAGAUAUAGGAGGGAACACCAGUGGCGAAGGCGACCACCUGGGCUCAUACUGACACUGAGGUGCGAAAGCGUGGGGAGCAAACAGG